ncrna:unclassified sequences eL15-Euryarchaeota ribosomal protein leader
CCCGAGAGCUCGGGACGAAAUGUGGGCCGGCGUCGACCGUCGCCCGAAUCGCAAG